rnacentral:miRNA from 1 species
GCGAGCGUGCUACCACUUGAGCCACAUCCCCAGCCCUAGAUCUUUGAUUAUUAUUGCUUAUAGCAAAUGAGUAAAAACUUAUUGUGAGUUUUCUGGUUUAACUACAUUAAAUAUCAGCUUAAAAAUAAAUUUUAGGGCUGGGGAUGUGGCUCAAGCGGUAGCGCGCUCGC